CCUACGGGGGGCUGCAGUUUCGAAUCCUUCACAAUGGGCGAAAGCCUGAUGGUGCGACGCCGCGUGAGGGAUGAAGGCCUUCGGGUUGUAAACCUCUGUCACUGGGGAAGAAACGCUUCAAGUUAAUAGCUUGAAGCCUGACUUAACCCAGAGAGGAAGCAGUGGCUAACUCUGUGCCAGCAGCCGCGGUAAUACAGAGACUGCAAGCGUGGUUCGGAUUCGCGCGCAGGCGACGGUGCGUGGGCGGUCUGAAAGCCCGGGGCUUAACCUCGGAAUUGCGCCUAAAACUACACGGCUAGAGCAUUGGAGAGGGUAGCGGAAUUCACGGUGUAGCAGUGAAAUGCGUAGAUAUCGUGAGGAACACCAGAGGCGAAGGCGGCUACCUGGACAAUUGCUGACGCUCAGGCACGAAAGCGUGGGGAGCAAAAGGGAUUAGAUACCCUAGUAGUC
rnacentral:rRNA from 1 species